CCCUCGCUGCCCGGUGUGAGGGUGGCCGCUGCAGUGGGUCCGCACGCACACCGCAGCGGCCGCUUACCCGCGAAUGUUGCCGGAGCCCGUGACGCCCCAUUGGUUUGUCUCUGCCUCUCCCGCCCCGGGACCGGCGUCAGGAGCCUGGAGUGCUGUGAUGGAUGGCACCGGCCGGUGCUCCCGCCGAGGCCAGAGUCCGCUCUGCGUGUGCAGGCCGCCCCGGGGCCUCACGCGGUGCCGCAGGUGAUCACGGGGGCACUGCCAGGCAAGAGGGCUGGGGCCCGGGCUCUGCCUCUCGAGCGCUGUGUGGCCCCGGACAAACGUCCUGGCCUCUCUGGGCGCCUGUGUGUGACUACUCUCCUGCCUCCCUGCUUGGGCUGAGGGUCCGUACAAAAAUGGGGCGCCGUGCGUGAGCCUCGCCUUCGAUGCAAGCUCCCCUCGGGCCGGCCAUUCGAUCCAGAACCUUCCGUGCCUGUGCUCGCCUCACCCCCAGGCAACUCCGCAAGGCUGCCCACGUGCCCCAGCACAAGCGACCCCACGGUGGACUCGGGCCCGGACUCCGUGUGUCUCUGAGACUCACUUCCUCUCGGUGUCAGGUGGCGUGGAGGGGCGUCGCCGGGCCCAUAACCCCAAGUGCCGGGUUCAAUGUCAUCACCCCCAGGCAGGGCCACGGAAGGGGAGGCACGGAAGGACCACGUGGUCAGCUCCACCCCAGCGGACGCAGCCUGUCUUCCUGCCCAGGAGCUGGGGCGGCCCCUGCACACCGGGGCCCCCAGUCACGAGGACCCGGCUGCUUCCAGGCAUGAGGCGAGUCCCCCAUUCGAUAAACCCUGAGAGUGUUCCAAGAAGCCAGGAAAGUGAUAGGAGGCAUCAGUCACACGUGAGAUAACGUGGCCGUGCAGCACCCAAGCCCAGUGUGGGGAAGCCCACCCCAGAAGAGGUCAGACCGCUGCUCUGGGCAGGGGAACUGGCCGCAGGCAAGGGCAGCAGCUCACAGGGAGGACAGGGGAGUGGAAGAAGCUUUGGAGGAUGGAUGCAAUCCGGGGAGGCUUCCUGGAGGAGGAAACACCAGCACUGGGUCUUGAAGCACGAACA